GCUUGGGUAGCUCAGUUGGUAGAGCAGCGGUUUGAAGAACCGCAAGUCGUCGGUUCGAGCCCGACCCCAAGCACCC
rnacentral:tRNA from 1 species